GUGUUCGGCAGCACAUACACUAAAACUGGAAUGAUACAGAGAUUAGCAUGGCUCCUGCUCAUGGAGGACACAAAUUCAUGAAGCGUUCCAUAUUUUU
rnacentral:snRNA from 1 species